rnacentral:rRNA from 1 species
CCUACGGGUGGCAGCAGUAGGGAAUCUUUCACAAUGGGCGAAAGCCUGAUGGAGCAACGCCGCGUGCAGGAUGAAGGCCUUCGGGUUGUAAACUGCUUUUAUAAGCGAGAAAUAUGAUGGUACCUUAUGAAUAAGGAUCGGCUAACUACGUGCCAGCAGCCGCGGUCAUACGUAGGAUCCGAGCAUUAUCCGGAGUGACUGGGUGUAAAGAGUGGCGUAUGUGGCAUAAUAAGUAGCUAGUGAAAUCUGGUGGCUCAACCAUUCAGACUAUUAGCUAAACUGUUAAGCUCGAGACCGUUAGGGGUAACUGGAAUUUCUAGUGUAGGAGUGAAAUGCGUAGAUAUUAGAAGGAACACCAAUAGCGUAGGCAGGUUACUGGGACGGUUCUGACACUAAGGCACGAAAGCGUAGGGAGCAAACGGGAUUAGAUACCCUUGUAGUC